CAGAAGUGAAUCAUGGAAUGGUUUGGGUUGGAAGGGACUCUGAAGAUCCUCUAGUUCCAACCCGCCUGCCAUGGGCAGGGGCACCUUCCACAGAGACCCCCCAUCCAACCUGG